rfam:Trichobilharzia regenti genome assembly, scaffold: TRE_scaffold0038143
GUGCUGAUGAAGAGUCCCAAACUAGGACGAAACAACUGUCCAGUAC